rnacentral:tRNA from 1 species
CCCACCAUAGUUUAUUAAAACUUCGACUUGCAAAAUCGAGAAUGGAAUAACUUUCCUGGUGUGU